GCAAGUUCCCCUGCAGUUGUUUGGGCUGUCGCUGUGGCUGGUUCUGCGGUGUGCGGCCAGCCAUGGAGCGCUCUGGGCCCAGCGAAGUGACAGGCUCAGACGCAUCGGGACCGGACCCGCAGCUUGUGGUCACCAUGGGCUUCACGGGGUUCGGGGUUCGGUAAAAAAGCUCACACAUUUGACUUGGAAGCAAUGUUUGAACAAACUCAAAGAACAGCUGUGGAAAGAAGUCACAAAACACUGGCAUUGGUUUGCCAGGGGCUCCCAGGCCUCUAGCCGCAGACUGAAGGCUGCACUGUGAGCCUCCCUACCUUUGAAGUUUGGGACUCAGACUGGCUUCUUGGCUCCUCAGCUUGCAGUCGGCCUAUUGUGAGACUUCCCCUUGUGAUCAUACCAGAUUACAGAGGGGUAUUGAUUUGCCUUGCCCCCGCCCCCACCAUCACAGUGUGUCCCUGUCCAGUGUUGGUGCUGUGUGGCAUUGCUUGUGUCCAUAGGAGUCCAUCAAGGCAGAGCGGCAGAGCGGCAAGCAGAGCGGCAAGGCAGGUCAGCUUCCGGCUCUUCCAGGCUGCAUGUCCCCCUCAAUAUCCUUUCAACCCAAUGGAAAUGGAUUGAAAGAGUGAAAGUCACUGGUCUCAAAGAAUCUACGGAAUUUAGCAUUUUGAAAAUCACAGAGCAAUUUUGGGUAGGUAUUCACAUGCACUAAAAAACCAGGCAAACAUCUGACUCCCAGGAUAAAGUGACUGAGAGCAGUAGAAGACUUGUUGAGCCUUAAGGAAUAAGAGGAAAAUUAUGUUAUGAAGUGCAGGAACAGCACAGACCCAGACGAGGGGAUGCAGCCCGGAGCCAGUAACCCGGCGCCUCCUCCUCCCCAGGGCGCAGCGCUGGCUGCUCCCCGGAUACCGUGAUCACACGUCCCAGGUCCUGAGAGCGCCUCAUAGGUAGACAGUUCUUUGGGACUUUUGGGACGCAGCACUUGAAGAGAGGUUUACCUAAACUUUCCUCCUGGGAGCCUGUCAUCAUUUGAAAGUAACAGAAGAAAGCUGUCAGGCUGAGGAAAGUUUCAACAGGCACUUGGUGAGAAUGGGAAGCAUCCAUUCAUUGGGAAAUCACGGGGACAGAGGAGGAAUUCACGGGAUCAGAGCACUGAGAAACUCCAGAGGCUUCUGGUUCACCGCCCUGAUUCCACAGAUGUGGGUCAGAGGCAGAGAUGGAAGUUGGAAUGGACAAGCCUGCCCUCUCCUCAGCUCUCCAUGGCUCUGUCCUCAGGCUGUUUCUGCAAUUUGACAUGAGGCCUGGCCCCAGGGAAACCAGUGGGGCCUCAUCUCCUCCCUGUGCUGCUCUGAGGUGGAGCCUUCUCAGGGUCAGUCCAGCUCUGGAGCCCCUCUCCAGCUCGGUCACCAAAGCUGUCUGGUCCCAGGGCAGUGUGGAGUGACAGGCACGCCAGCCAAUCCAAUCGGCCAUUUCAUACCCAAUGCAUGUGACUGAUAAAGAGAUAACACCCUGUCUCCAAGACACAGGCUUUACAUAAACAGCUUUAAUGACUUCUUCACUUAGGGACAAGACUCCUUAGUGGUGGAACCUCAGGCAUCCAUGCAGGAUGUAAGAAAGCUCCCGUAUAUACAUGAACUGAGAAGUGUGUAGAAGAGUAAAUACUGUAAUAGGUAAUAAAAUGUAUGUAUUUUUAUUUAUGUGCUACUUUGUCUUUCUCCCUCUCUGUGUAUAUACACAUACAUACAAAAAUGUAUUCAUUCUAUGGAAAACAUGAAAGAUGUAAUAUUCUUUACAUAUUUAAUUAAUGUAUUUUUUCUGAUCAUAUGAACACCACAAAUAUAAUUUUAUAAUUUUUUUACCUAACAAUAAGUCUUAAACAUAAAUAUACAUGGACAAUAUCAUAGUUUUUUUUUUAAUCAUAAUUAAAAUGGUUGUGAAAC
rnacentral:lncRNA from 1 species